ACGAACGCUGGCGGCAGGCCUAACACAUGCAAGUCGAGCGCACCGCAAGGUGAGCGGCGGACGGGUUAGUAACGCGUGGGAACGUACCCUUUUCUACGGAAUAGCUUCGGGAAACUGAAGGUAAUACCGUAUACGCCCUUUUGGGGAAAGAUUUAUCGGAGAAGGAUCGGCCCGCGUCUGAUUAGAUAGUUGGUGGGGUAAUGGCCUACCAAGUCUACGAUCAGUAGCUGGUUUGAGAGGAUGAUCAGCAACACUGGGACUGAGACACGGCCCAGACUCCUACGUGAGGCAGCAGUGGGGAAUCUUAGACAAUGGGCGCAAGCCUGAUCUAGCCAUGCCGCGUGAGUGAUGAAGGCCUUAGGGUCGUAAAGCUCUUUCGCUGGGGAAGAUAAUGACGGUACCCAGUAAAGAAACCCCGGCUAACUCCGU
rnacentral:rRNA from 1 species